AGAGACAUUGGAGGGAAGAAAACAACUGGACCAGUUCAACCAACAUAGAGCAACUGAGGGCCCAUUGAUGAACUGAGCCAGAGGGAGGCACUAAUGCCAACUGCAUUAAGACGCCGAAGAAGAAGAAGUGAAUUGGACUUUUACUUUGAAAGAUUUGACAGUUAAGGCCGGAAAUGGCGUUCCGAGUCUUCAUGGCGACAGACCCUCUCAAACUUCGCUGACACUCCUCGGUCACAGUCACCGAAAUGUUUACACCCAGCAUGAAUUGACCGGUGGACUUCAGACUACCUGCUAAUCUGAGUGACCAUCGGACCUUCCGGAGACCAUGUCCGUCGUGACGGUGCAGCUCGGUCAGUGCGGUAACCAGGUGGGUCACGAGCUGUUCGACAUCAUCUGCAGCGAUGCUCACGAGCCUCAGAGGAAAGUGUUCCGCUCAGCUAGCUGCGAGCGAUUCUUCCACCAAACCGCACGCGGAGACCUGGUAGCCAGGGCGGUUCUGGUUGACAUGGAGUCCAAAGUGAUCAACCAGAGUAUGAGCAAGGCUGCAAAAUCUGGCAGGUGGAGGUACGGAGAGAGCUCACACUUCAGCCAGAAGCAGGGCUCCGGAAACAACUGGGCUAACGGGUUCUGUGUGCACGGCCCUCGUCACAGAGAAGUGGUGGAGGAGCUGGUGAGGCGAGAGGUGGAGCGCUGUGACAGACUGGCCGGGCUCAUGGCUAUGAUGAGCGUGGCGGGGGGAACCGGCUCCGGGGUCGGUACCUACGUCACCCAGUGUCUCCGAGAGAUCCACCCCAAGUCCUUCAUCGUCAACCACCUCACCUGGCCGUACGGGACGGGGGAGGUGAUCGUCCAGAACUACAACUCCGUGCUGUCACUGGCUCAUCUCUACCAGCUGUCUGACGCCAUCCUGGUGCACGAGAACGACACGGUGCACAAGAUCUGCAGUCAGCUGCUCAACCUCAAAGACAUCUCCUUCAGCGACAUCAACGGCGUCAUCGCUCAGCAGCUGGGUGGCGUCCUGCAGCCCGCGCUCACCGCCGACUCCUAUGGAGUCUACAGCAGAAAUCCUCUGGGUGAGCUGUUGAGCGCCCUCACCUGCCACCCAGAGUACAAGCUGCUCAGCGUGAGCACCAUCCCUCAGAUGCCCAGCGCCUCCGUGGCCUACAGCACGUUCAGCUGGCCGGGCAUGCUCAAACACCUGAGACAGAUGCUCAUCUCCAACACCAAGAUGGAGGAAGGUAUCGACUGGCAGGUGCGUCCACCUUCGGGCUCAGAGCGGACCAGGAGCGUCACAGGAGCCGGCUUUAACACCUCUCUGGCCAACCUGCUCAUACUGAGAGGGAAGGAUGUGUACAGCGCAGAGACAGGUGGCUUUGAGGACCCAGCUCUGUACACCUCCUGGCUGUCACCUCACAACGCUUUCAACUUAUGGAAAUCCCCAGUGCCUUUUAAGUACGAGAAAUCUGCCACGCUGAGACAUGCCUGAGUAGGAGUCUUAGGAAAAAGUGGGUCCAAUAAGUAUGACAACUGUGGGAAUAUUUGUGUCUUAGGCCUACGUCCAUCAGUACAUUAAAUUUGGGUUCACAGAAGAAGACUUUCUCGACAGCUUUACAUCUCUUGAGCAAGUCAUCUCCAGCUACAGUCAACUGUGCUAGACCAGGGAAAAACUAACAAGCACCUCCUUGCCUUUGGACUCUAUGUAGACGGGAGCGAGCAUCACUGUGGGAUGGGAAAAAAAAACAAUCUCUUUACCAAAAGCUUAAUAGAUUCCUCAACAUCUGCAGGGGGAAGGACUGAGGUUAUGUCACACUCAAAGUAUCAUCGGGACACACAGUCAGUGCCUCUAAGCUGCUUUAUUAAAUUAAAUUAUAUUUUUAUGGACUCUGAUUGUUUUGUCAACUGCUGUUUCAAGGCCAAGAAUAAACUGACUUUUCAAACGAAA